rnacentral:lncRNA from 1 species
UCAGUAGACAGCUUUGCAGGCUGUUCUUGUGUUUGCAGUCCCUGUGUAUAGCCUUCUCAAAAUACAAACGGCAUAUUUUGAGGCAUGGAAAGAAUUCUCCCUGAAGAUUUGUGCCACAAAUAGCCCCAGAAGCUGGCUGAUUUUGGAGUCAUUGCUGCACUGAACCCAGAGCUCGCCAUGGCAUCUUGUUUAAGAAAAUUAAGUUUUCCCAUUCUUCCUCUUUAAGCUGGUGACCCUGGGUGGCAUGGAACUCUUACAGGAAAAGCUUGGAACUCUUGAGCUCAAAUCCAGUGUGUUGACAAGGUCCCAGUGGGAACCCCAUUCAGGCUGAAUGAAUUGGCAGUCAUUUCCAGGCUUAUCAGAUCACAUUCUCCUUGUCUUACUUAAUUUUGUGAAUCAACCCCAACUCAGGAGACCAGAAUCACAACAAGAAUUUCAUUUUUGCCAGACAAAGGGCUCAGCCAUGCAUUCAGCCAUCAAGUUUUCCUUGUCCUUCCCUGGGUCUGGAGUGAUAUAGACUGAAACAGUGGAUCCGUGUCAGGUUUUACUCAUGGCUGGACUGCCUUGUCACGCUCCUUGGCACCGAAGGAGUGUGAUUGAAUGUGUGUAGCUGUCAGAGGCAGAGGGGAGUCAAUAAUACCUGAUAUUUGCCUUGAAUUCCUGUUUUACCUUCACACAAUUAAAUCUUGCCUUCACAUUAUUUCAUUUGCUUUACUUGGAAAGGAGCUCUAACCUUGAAAAGGAUUGAAGUUGUGGCUUUAUUAUCCUUGAGGACAAUUCUAUGUAAUGUGUGGAAGAAGAGAGGAUUCCAAAGAGAUUCCUCUCUUGUCUUUUCCGUAUCAACUGCUUUGAGUCCUUUGUUUUCUUUCCUGGGCUCUUGUGUGGGUGACACAUCUGUGUUUAUAUACAGCUAGGCCAUAUCUCUCUCCCAAAGAGGCAGAAGAGCCAAACUACAUGUCUUCAGGAGGGGGAAGCAAGUUUUUCUCAACCUUAGUGAAUGAUGUUUCUAGAACAGGGUGGAUCUCUAAGCCCUUAAGGAUGAUGCUGUCUGUUCCAGAGAAUUCUAUAUAAAGUGUAUGUGUGUGCACGCUUCUUUCAGUUUUCUUCUCUUAAGAAGACAAUUAGCAGCAGCAUUCAACAUAGAGUCCUCAAAGGAUGAAAUCCUCCCAACAUUUAACUUGG